rnacentral:rRNA from 1 species
UGGGGAAUAUUGGACAAUGGGGGCAACCCUGAUCCAGCAAUGCCGCGUGUGUGAAGAAGGUCUUCGGAUUGUAAAGCACUUUCGACGGGGACGAUGAUGACGGUACCCGUAGAAGAAGCCCCGGCUAACUUCGUGCCAGCAGCCGCGGUAAUACGAAGGGGGCUAGCGUUGCUCGGAAUGACUGGGCGUAAAGGGCGUGUAGGCGGUUUACACAGUCAGAUGUGAAAUCCCCGGGCUUAACCUGGGAGCUGCAUUUGAUACGUGUAGACUAGAGUGUGAGAGAGGGUUGUGGAAUUCCCAGUGUAGAGGUGAAAUUCGUAGAUAUUGGGAAGAACACCGGUGGCGAAGGCGGCAACCUGGCUCAUGACUGACGCUGAGGCGCGAAAGCGUGGGGAGCAAACAGGUUAGAUACCCUGGUAGUCCACGCUGUAAAACG